AGAGUUUGAUCCUGGCUCAGAACGAACGCUGGCGGCGCGUUUUAAGCAUGCAAGUCGAGCGGCAAGGGCCUUUGGGCCCCUAGAGCGGCGGACGGGUGAGUAACACGUGGACAAUCUGCCCCCCGGCCGGGGAUAGCCCAGGGAAACCUGGAUUAAUACCGGAUGAGACGGGACCCGCGGAGGCGGGAUCCGGGAAAGGCGCUGCGGCGCCGCCGGGGGAUGAGUCUGCGUCCCAUUAGCUAGACGGCGGGGUGAAGGCCCACCGUGGCGACGAUGGGUAGCCGGCCUGAGAGGGUGGACGGCCACAUUGGAACUGAGACACGGUCCAGACUCCUACGGGAGGCAGCAGCUAAGAAUCUUCCGCAAUGGGCGAAAGCCUGACGGAGCGACGCCGCGUGAACGAAGAAGGCCGUGAGGUUGUAAAGUUCUUUUCGGGAGGGGGAACAACCGUGGCAGGGAAUGGCCGCGGGAUGACGUGAAUCCCGGAAUAAGCCCCGGCUAACUACGUGCCAGCAGCCGCGGUAACACGUAGGGGGCGAGCGUUGUUCGGAAUCAUUGGGCGUAAAGGGCGUGCAGGCGGUCCUGCAAGUCCGGCGUGAAAGACCCCGGCCCAACCGGGGGGGCGCGCUGGAAACUGCAGGGCUUGAGUACAGGAGGGGAUGCCGGAAUUCCAGGUGUAGGGGUGAAAUCUGUAGAUAUCUGGAAGAACACCAAUGGCGAAGGCAGGCAUCUGGCCAUGUACUGACGCUGAGACGCGAAGGUGCGGGGAGCAAACAGGUUUAGAUACCCUGGUAGUCCGCACAGUAAACGAUGUGCACCAGGUGGCGGGGGGUCGACCCCCGGUACCGUAGCCAACGCAUUAAGUGCACCGCCUGGGGAGUAUGCUCGCAAGGGUGAAACUCAAAGGAAUUGACGGGGGCCCGCACAAGCGGUGG
rnacentral:rRNA from 1 species